CUGCUCUCGGGCUGGCUUCCUGUACCGGUACGCGAUCCCGUGUACCGGUACACCAGGGUAGGUGAGAGGGUGUUUUUGUCUUUUUCUACCUCGUUCGUAUCACCCUCCUCUCCCCAGCUUAUUUACAUGUAGAGUGAGGCUGAGAGAGAGAGUUUUGCUCUUGGUUCUCUCCCUCUCUCUCUCUAGAGCCGAUUGUGAGCAAGGUGGAGCUCGGGUGGAGUUUCGUCGCCGACGUGGUGCCGCGGAGCCUUUCGAGCGCACGUUGUGUCGUCUUGGUGCUGUGAGGUGCUCGGGCGAGUGUGGAUUUCCGUCGUCCUCGACAUUGCGCCGACUCUUGAGGAUCUAUCGAGUAUUUCAGCUCGUUCUCGACGUAGGAGCAUCAGAUUGCGAGGAGAGUUGGUUCAUUGGAUUCGGGACUUCGAGAGGAAUCCACGAAGCCCUUACUUGCUGGAUUUGGUGAAGAGCUUGGAAUUAGCUCGAGUGCUUGACUUGGAGGGUUCCCAUUGAUCCAGCAGGGGCCACUUUGGUUCGAGGCUUCGUUCGCUGCCAGGUGCUAGCAU